CAUCCUAGAUUGCCUUUGGCAGUGGGGGUGUGGUUUGUUUGGCGGUGUUUUGUCUUGCGAACGCGUGGGCGUGUGAGUGGUAGUUGGGAUGUUUGUGCCGGCUGGCUCCGUGCUUGUGCAUCGAACCGUUUGCAUGCAGCCCUCUUCAGUAUCCACCUCAUGCCUUGUGCUUUGGUGUUUGCCUUGGUUCCUGUGUUGCCUACCUUUCAAAGGUACUCGUGUGGCUUGUUCGACUUUUCCCGUCCCGACCUCCUUGGUUGGGUUGUGGAGGGCUUCUAGGUAAUAUGUGCGUGCCCAUUUAGUUGUGCUCAUUGCCGACUGUUUUGGUGCACAUGUAUUUACCGUUCUCUUGGAUGCGGCAUAUGAUUGGAACGUGGGUUUUUCUCCCACAGUGUCCCUUAAGUUUCGGUUGCCUUGAGUGAUUCCUGCCUUCUUGCUUGUUUUGCUAUCCGUUAGUGGGUGCAAGGCUUGCCUGAUGUGCAGAGUCAUUGAUGGAUGCUACCUGGUUGAUCCUGCCAGUAGUCAUAUGCUUGUCUCAA
rnacentral:misc_RNA from 1 species